CUUUAGACUGAAGUUAAAGCUAAUUUAGAAGCAUAUUUAAAACGCAAUAAGCACCUUGCUGUAGAAUAAGAGCCAAAAAACAUUGUAUAUUAUCUAUUAUUUCAUAAGUAUCAUGAUAAGAAGAAUAUGGUUAAUCUCUUUUACUGCCUGAUUUACUGCUGGAGGCGUUUUAUUUCUUCGGUUGUUGUUGUUGUUGCCUGACAGUGGACCUAACCAACAAAAUUGAUGGGGGGCUGCGUUCGGAGUCCGUUGCAAUAUCGAAAAGCCCAGUUUCUAAAUGUAAAGCGAAAGAGAGAAGGGUGGAAGACGCUUCAUGCAUUUUGUAAAGUUGCGAGUGGUAGGCGAGACAUGUCCGUCGAGUAUGCGGCCCGGAGGAUAAGAGCAUCUCGCCGUCGAAGAAGACGGCCGCCAGGAAGCGGCGAUGAUGGUGAAGAGGAUCGGAGGUGGUCGUUUAGUUUGAUUCCCCUGCAGCCACUGAAAGAAGUAAAUUAAUGUCAGCGCGCGCGCGGGGUGAACGUUCAAGGCGAUAGAUGAUAUUUCAAUGGAUUUACUCCUCCGUUUCUACCGUGAUUCGAAAGGAGCUGCGGCCGUUGUAGCGUCGUACGUUUGUGUGAACGUUCCCGUGCGUUUUUCCCGCCUUCCAUCUCGUGCCCCGCCACCGUCCCAAUAGGAUUCAAAUCCUUGCACCUUGACCUAUGCUUGUCGGUCGUUGGGAAAUCGAAGAUUGUUCACAUUUUCCAGCCGAUAGGAGCUAAACGAAACGGCAGUUCAGCUAAUUGCGAUAAUUGCCAUAGGAAGAAAGCGCGGAGUUCUGGGAGCGCGCCCCACGAAAGGUUACGAGGGGUGACCUCCGAUGACGCAAAUCGAACCACAUGUAGAGACGCUGACGUAACGUCGGGGCCGCAAUUACGUCAUGAUGACUCAUAUAUUUGUCAUGUUCGGAGCCGUUGGUCGGAGAACAGACGAGGGCAGUGGGAGGCGAAGGAGGAGUAGGUAUAACGACACCGAAAAUAAAAAUCUCUAAAGGACCAAAAAAAAAGA